UUGAUGGAUACCUGGUCAUUAAAUCAUCUGCAAUAACUAAAAGGAGUUGCAGCCUAGUUAUUUUCAUGAACUAAAUGCCCCAAUUCAAUCAACUAUGUGGCCAUGUGAGCAAUUCCUUAGCCUCCUAAUAUUUAAGCAGGCCAGGAGAAUAGUUAUUGUCAUUUUAAGUAAAGAAUGUGUUAGAAUUUAAGAAAAAAUACUAUUUAAAGUAAAAUAUUUCUUUACUUUUACAUCAGCUCUUCAGAACUGAGCUACCAGCAGCCACACUAAUUGAGAGACUUUGGAAUGUGGGUUGGUGAAGGAGGUGAAGCCAGAACAGGAACGGUGAGUCUGUGUGUAGACAGCCGCCCACACUCUCAAGCCUCACCCACUCUGGGCCGCCUGCAUAGAUGUCAUGAGGACAAAGGCUCACCUACGAUCGAAAGCAAUUACAUCAGUUUCUGUGAAUUGUCUCUUUAAAAGUUCUCUCUGGAUUUAAAAUUCAAAACAAUUCUCAAUAAUUUCAUUAUAAAUUUGGGACAUAUAAUCUCACAUUGUUCCAAUAUAUUCAGUGACUGAAGUUCUGAUGGGACUAAAACCCUGUCACACCUUGACACUGGCUACGGAAAGUAUUUCUUAACCUAUCAAGAAUACCAGCAAUCUGUUUUCACUCCACCCCAAAGCACUUAAAUCACGUUAGAACUCUAAAAUGUAAUAAGAACCACAUCAAUAUCUUGUAAUCUCUAAAUGUCAGAUUAAAAUAUGAGUGGAGAA